CUGGUCAACAGUUGUCAAAUCAGAACCCACUAACUCAACCACAUGUAGAUUCAUUAAUUUAACCAAGGGAUUCUGGAGAACUGCCUGAUAACCACCCUUAAUACCGCACCGGGAUCAUUUGGAAACAACAAUGCAAGCAAAUUAGCCCAAGAGGUUCAGCUAGGGUAAAAGAAAUCAGAAAAGAUGGAUGCAUGAAAAUGAAAAUAGCAGCCACAAUUGAGAGCACUCACUGGCUUAGGUCAAACAGACCUCAAUUUAAUCUGAGCGCUCCCUUUACCAACUGUGUGACAUUCAACAAUUGGCUUAACCUUCAUGAGCCUGAAUUUUCUCAUCUGCCAAGUGACGUGAAGGCAA